AAGCCAGUUGCGGUUCUAGUUCUUAUGCUCAACGAUACACAAAGCAUCUA
rnacentral:sRNA from 1 species